AGUGGCGGACGGGUGAGUAACACGUGGAUAACCUACCUCGAGGUGAGGAAUACCGGCGAGAAAUCGCCGACAAUACCGCAUAAGUUUGGAAACAAACAAAGCCGCAAGGCGCCAUGAGAUGGGUCCGCGGCCGAUUAGCUAGUUGGUGGGGUAAAAGCUCACCAAGGCGACGAUCGGUAGCUGGUCUGAGAGGACGAUCAGCCACACUGGGAUUGAGAACGGCCCAG
rnacentral:rRNA from 1 species